rnacentral:lncRNA from 1 species
UCAACAUUCAAAACUGACCAAGGAACCCCACUAGCUAGACAUGUGUAGUGAUUACCAGCAAACCUCACGCCAGGCUCACUCAGGACUGGCUACCCCCAGGAUGGAGGGGUGGCAUGCCAGUAAGGAACCUGGCCUCAGCAGCAAGUUGUUUUUUUCUGCAAGUAUCGUGUAUUUCUUCUCCAACCAAUUUUGUUCCCCUUGGUUCCUGGGAACCAUUAUACCAUUAGGUUAAUGGACCAUUGGUUUAUCCACCUGUAUGUUGCCUGAAUUUUGGCCAUUCAACCAUGCAUUCCUGGUGAUUGGGUUUACAAGUACUAGUCUCCUAAGUCCAGCAUCAUGUUCAGAUAUCUCGUGACGAUAAAUUGGUGUAGUAACCAUGGUAUGUCAGCAAAGAGAUGGCCCCACUCAUUAAAAAUAUGUUGGUAUUGGAGGCUUCAAAAAUUUGUAUAUUUGUUACUGAUAUAUAGAACAAAUAAAUGGCCAAAUACAAAAUUGUGCAGAACCCAGAUUAUCUAGUAUCUAAUAAAGAAUUAAUAAAGAAUAUGUAUUAAUGUAGAUAUCUUUAUUUACAUAUUAAUGGCUUUUUUCAAAUUGGCCAAAUUUUUCAAAACAAUUACAUAUUAAAAAUUGAGAUAUAUGGAAAUUCUAACAAUAGAUUUAUAGUCAUUCUUGGGGUGGGCAUUAACACUUUUUGGUAACUUCUGUAAGUUAAUUAUAGUUUAACUUCUUAAUUAAUUAAUUCUGUAUGUUAAUUUAUAGUUUAACUUCCUAGACACUUUGGUGUCUUUUUUUACCCUCACUUUAAAAUACACACAAUAGUUUAAAUAUAUCACAUUUGGUCAACAGUUCAAAUUAUUUUAUUAUUUAAAGCAUGUAGAAAAAAUAUAAUAGUUAAAAUUCCAGUGAAAAAUUCUAAUACAGAGGAAUCACAUGGCUAUAUUUGGAAAGAUAAUAUUUCUUUAAAAAUGUGUUGUUUUUUGUUUUAUGUUUGCGAUAAGCAUUACUGAAGUUUGAUUGAAGAACUUCAUGAUUUUUAUGUUUUACUUUCUUGUAUUGAGAAAUAGUGGUCCAUUGUUGGGCUGUAUUUAAAAUUAAUGUGUAUAAAACAAGAAAUAUUUAAUUAGAGUUAUUAAUUUUCCACAUUUAAUAUGUGUAUUUGACCUAAAUCAGUAUCUUUUAUCAUAUCAGCCUCACAUUUAACAAGAAUAAUCACAAGGACAACAACAAAUUUGAAUGUUUCCUUUGUGCCUAUGCUCCUAUCAUGUUCUAUUCAUUCUUAUAAAUCUAACAACUAACAAUUAAUUUGAAGUUAGACACACAGGAUUUACUCAUCAGUAUUAGAGCAUUCACUGCUAGCCAAGAAGGUUACUAUCCCUGGUGCUGAAACUGCUCUGUGUAGUCCUUGUGGUUGAAGAAUUAAAACAGUUUCUCUUAGACAUUUCCUUUCAUUGAAAUUAUGAAUUGGAUAAAUGUUCAUACCUUAAAGGAAGUAUUAAAUUUCACAUAUGUUAACAUCUUAAUUAAUGUAAGAUUAAUAUUCUACUUAUGACUAUGUUUUAGUAUUGAAAAAUGAGUUUCUGAUGAGUUUCAUUAGUUUCUAGAGAAAACAAUGGUUUAAAAAAUUUCAGUACAUAAGACAUUGAGGAGUCUAUGAAUGUUCCAGAAACCUGAAAACAUAUACCACUAAUCAAAGUUUCUCCAUUCAUGUUGACUAGCAUUUGCCUUAGGUGUCAGAAUUAAUGGAUUUGUGUUAAAAAUAAACGCCUGAAAUCUAAUUCCCUAGCUGCAUUAUAACACACUAGAUUACAAGUACUAAGCUUUUAUUUAAUGCUUAUAAUGGCUUUAAAUUGUAGCAAAAUGGGCUUCCCCCAAGAGGACUGCUUUGUUGAUCCUAAGGUGGGGUCAUAAGCCAGAAGUUAACUAUGCUUUCAUAUAUUCUUGAAAGUAGAAGUACAGUGUUGGUGUAAAUUCUCCUUAGAUGGGUAGGUAAGCCCAGAGGAAAUAAUGGUAAUUGGCACCAUAUGACCAUAUGCAAUUCAUAUGCAUAUUUAUAUCAAGAAAAGAACAUUAUAGGUCUGGUGAGACCCUAUUUUUUUCUGACAGUGUCAUCUGUAUUUACGUGUCUAUUUCGGGAAUUUGGAAGUCAAGGGAUUCUAUGCUGGAUUGUGAAGCGUCUGUUUCUGCUUGAUGUAGCUACUCAAUUUUGUAUUCUUGACUAAUAAAGUCAUAAACAUAAUGCAA